UUGUACUCAGUGGUGCAGGAUGUUGGCUUGGGACAACAGACUGAAAAGACCUACAGACUAAGGAGGUAAGAAGAAGACAAGAGACCGUAACUGACCGGAGGCGGCAGCUGUCGCAUCACCCAAAGGCCUCACUUCUGACUGAGGGGCAGCUUGGCGAAAGGAGACUCUAAACCCAACCAGGUGCAAUUGUUCUUUAUUUUCUUCUCCAGUGGUCACUGGGCAGAGCUUCAUCAGCGUUGUUACCUUCACCAAGGAGCAGUGGUGGUGAUCUCCAAACACGGGCUGGUUAUCUUCCAAUCAGAGCAUCUGCAACAAAAAGUCAUUUUUCUGAAGUGGAAAAGCUUAAAUUACUGUGAAUUGUUUGUGUACAGUUACCAUGAAGCAUUCUUUUUCUUUCCUUUUUUUUUUUCUUUUUUUUCUUUUUCCUUUUUCUUUUUUUUCUUUUUUCUUUUUCUUUUUCUUUUUUUUUUUUUUUUUUUUUUGCCAACCAUUGCCAAUGUCAAUCAAUCACAGUAUUAGCCUCUGUUAAUCUAUUUACUGUUGCUUCUAUAUACACUCUUCAAUGCAUAUGUUGCUCAAAGAUGGCAAGUUGUCCUGGGUUCUGUGAGUCCUGAGGUGGAUUUAGUUCUUGAUGCUGGUGCUAGAAGUAGGUCUUCAAAUACGGGAUCGUUGUCCCACCCCUGUACUGUACUCCCAGUGGCCAAACUUAUUUAUGCUGCUAAAUGAAAGAAAGAAAAAGCAAAUUAUUUUUUUUUUUAUUUUUUUUCUGCUGUGACGUUUUAGUCCCAGACUGAAUUCCAAAUUUGCUCUAGUUUGGUUACAGAAAAAAAAAAAAAAAAAAGACUUUUUUGCCACUGAAACUUGAGCCAUCUGUGCCUCUAAGAGGCUGAGAAUGGAAAAGUUUCAGAUAAUAAAGAGUGAAGUUUGCCUGCAAAUAAAGAAUCGAGAGUGUGUGCAAAGCUUAUUUUCUUUUAUCUGGGCAAAAAUUAAAACACAUUCCUUGGGACAGAGCCUGAGGUGCCUGUUCUGUGGAGAAACUUCUUUUUGAGGGCUGUGGUGAAUGGAUGAACAUACAUAGUAAAACUGACAAGAUAUUUUAAAGAUAUAUAUAAUACAAAACAAAAGGAAGUUGCUGGUCAGUCGUACCAUCGUACAGUAUUUGGGAAAACAACUGUUACAGUUUCAUUGCUCUGAGUGACUGACGUGAGAGGAAUUCGCUCUGCAGUGCCGCUGUCGCUCCCGUGCCAGCGCGUGGAGCGAGCGAGCGGGGUCAGAUGGUCCGCCUCAUUCACCAGGAGCCGUAACUCAAGCUGAACUGUGAAAGUGGUUAACACUGUAUCCUAGGCCGUCUUUUUUUUUCCUCCUCCUGUUUAUUUUUUUGUUUGUUUUAUUUAUAGUCUGAUUUAAAACAAUCAGAUUCCAGUUGGUUAAUUUUAGUUAUGUAACAACCUGACAAGAUGGAGGAAAACAACCUGUAAAGGGAUUGUGUCUAUGGUUUGAUUCACUUAGAAAUUUUAUUUUCUUAUAACUUAAGUGCAAUAAAAUGUGUUUUUUCAUGUUA
rnacentral:lncRNA from 1 species